rnacentral:rRNA from 1 species
UACGUAGGCAGCGAGCGUUGUUCGGAUUUACUGGGCGUAAAGAGCGCGCAGGCGGUCGUUCAAGUCGCGUGUGAAAGCCCCCGGCUCAACUGGGGAGGGUCACGCGAUACUGAUCGACUCGAAGGCAGGAGAGGGUAGUGGAAUUCCCGGUGUAGUGGUGAAAUGCGUAGAUAUCGGGAGGAACACCAGUGGCGAAGGCGACUACCUGGCCUGUUCUUGACGCUGAGGCGCGAAAGCUAGGGGAGCAAACGGG